CAGCCGUAAACUAUGCGCGUUAGGUGUAUCGGUGACCACGAGUCACCGAGGUGCCGAAGGGAAACCGUGAAACGUGCCGCCUGGGAAGUACGGUCGCAAGGCUGAAACUUAAAGGAAUUGGCGGGGGAGCACCACAACAGGUGGAGCCUGCGGUUUAAUUGGACUCAACGCCGGGAAGCUCACCGGAUAAGACAGCGGAAUGAUUGCCGGGCUGAAGACUCUGCAUGACUAGCUGAGAGGAGGUGCAUGGCGUAGACGUCCU
rnacentral:rRNA from 1 species